rnacentral:rRNA from 1 species
AUUGAACGCUGGCGGCAGGCCUAACACAUGCAAGUCGAACGGUAACAGGAAGCAGCUUGCUGCUUUGCUGACGAGUGGCGGACGGGUGAGUAAUGUCUGGGAAACUGCCUGAUGGAGGGGGAUAACUACUGGGAACGGUAGCUAAUACCGCAUAAUGUCGCAAGACCAAAGAGGGGGACCUUCGGGCCUCUUGCCAUCGGAUGUGCCCAGAUGGGAUUAGCUAGUAGGUGGGGUAAAGGCUCACCUAGGCGACGAUCCCUAGCUGGUCUGAGAGGAUGACCAGCCACACUGGAACUGAGACACGGUCCAGACUCCUACGGGAGGCAGCAGUGGGGAAUAUUGCACAAUGGGCGCAAGCCUGAUGCAGCCAUGCCGCGUGUAUGAAGAAGGCCUUCGGGUUGUAAAGUACUUUCAGCGGGGAGGAAGGGAGUAAAGUUAAUACCUUUGCUCAUUGACGUUACCCGCAGAAGAAGCACCGGCUAACUCCGUG